rnacentral:rRNA from 1 species
CAGAGGGGGCUAGCGUUGUUCGGAAUUACUGGGCGUAAAGGGCGCGUAGGUGGCCUGUUAAGUCGAACGUGAAAUCCCCGGGCUCAACCCGGGAACUGCGUCCGAGACUGGCAGGCUCGAAUCCGGGAGAGGGAUGUGGAAUUCCAGGUGUAGCGGUGAAAUGCGUAGAUAUCUGGAGGAACACCGGUGGCGAAGGCGGCAUCCUGGACCGGUAUUGACGCUGAGGCGCGAAAGCCAGGGGAGCAAACGGGAUUAGAUACCCCGGUAGUCCUGGCCCUAAACGAUGAAUGCUUGGUGUGGCGGGUAUCGAUCCCUGCCGUGCCGAAGCUAACGCAUUAAGCAUUCCGCCUGGGGAUACGGUCGCAAGGCUG